AAUACAUUGAUCUUGUCAAGGAGUUUUAUUCUAAUCUAGUUUUCACUGAUGGAGUUCUGAAGUCAAUUGUUAAGGGUAUCCAAAUUAUACUUAAUGCUCCUAGGCUAGGUAGACUCCUUCAGAUGCCCUGUGAAGGUAGCUGCCUAGAUGAGCUUUCAAGAAAAGAAAUCGGACUUAGGACCAUCCUAGGAAGAGAGGAUGUAGGGGGG
rnacentral:lncRNA from 1 species